AUUAUCAAACGCUGACUGCAGCACUUGGUUGACUUCUCCAUAUAUAGCAUUCUUUGCAUAUUGUCACAUUCCCUGAGGCAGGUAGUACGGUUGAAAGGCUACAGAAGUUUACCUAUGCAAUGGAUGUUAAUACAGAAGUCAUUCUUCUUCCAGAAUUGUGAACAAAUGUAAGACCCUGAUGGUAAAGGGUCUGUUCGAUGUCAUCCAAAUCAUGCAUUUUUGUGCCUUAAAAUUACAUGAAAAAUGAUUUCAGAUAUGUCCUUAGAAAAGAUGAACAUUGGCAUUAUUUUCACUACGUUUUGAUUGUAUUAUUGACAUUUCUUUUUCUGUGUGAUAACUCAGUGAUAAAAGUAAAGUUGUGAUACACAAGUCAUGCAUGAAUUGUUAUUCUAAUAAAGGCAUAUGUUUGGUA